GAUGAACGCUAGCUACAGGCUUAACACAUGCAAGUCGAGGGGAAACGAUAUUGGAAGCUUGCUUCGGAAAGGCGUCGACCGGCGCACGGGUGCUUAACGCGUAUCCAACCUGCCCAUCACUUGGGGAUAACCUUCCGAAGGUAAGACUAAUACCCAAAUACGCCCCUAGCAGCCAUCUGAACGAGUUUAAAGAUUUAUCGGUGAUGGAUGGGGAUGCGUCUGAUUAGAUUGUUGGGGGGGUAACGGCCCACCAAGGCGACGGUCAGUAGGGGUUCUGAGAGGAAGGUCCCCCACAUUGGAAAUGAGACACGGUCCAAACUCCUACGGGAGGCAGCAGUGAGGAAUAUUGGUCAAUGGGCGAGAGCCUGAACCAGCCAAGUAGUGUGCAGGAUGACGGCCCUAUGGGUUGUAAACUGCUUUUAUAAGGGAAUAAAGUGGGAGUCGUGACUCCUUUUGCAUGUACCUUAUGAAUAAGGACCGGCUAAUUCCGUGCCAGCAGCCGCAGUAA
rnacentral:rRNA from 1 species